UAAUCUGUCACCGUGUGAGGGUUGUGCGGUGGGCGAACGUUUGGGGUCUUGGGGUGGCCCGGGUGCGUGUUUGAUGAGAUUACUGUGAAGGAUGUAGCUGAAAUAAUAAUAGAGACACUGGCUGUUUAUUAGAGGAACCUUUCACGCCGUCCUCUUUCCUGAAGAAAACCUCCAAGCGCCUGCGGAAACAGCACGGCGCAAAAAAGCUGAGCGACGCCUCGGUCUUGCCCUUAAGCAGUUGGUAGCCAGCAACGUAGAGAUACAGGGUUCCCGUGUGUCUCUUUACUCUGUAAUAGAUGCUGAUUCUUACAGCCUUGUGAAAAGAGGAAAAGACCAUGGCAGUUUCAUCCAUGGGUACAUAAGUUCUGUCUGAAAUAUUUCUUUCAUUUCAAACGAAGAAAGGCCAACACCAUUGCUGAAACUAAGUGCAGUUUUUUCUUCAUGAAGUUACUACAAAAAUAUUCCUUGGCUCCUUGAUUUUCCAAAAUGCUGUGAGCAGUGAAACACAGAAGAGAUGCCUAGAGCACUGUUGGAGAAAAAUGAAGAGAAUAUUUUACCAAGCACAUGUAAGAGCCCACAUUGUGGAUUACAUCAUGGCGAUAAGAGCUGUAAAACGAACUGUCUUUCCACUCUUGUCUUGUUCUUAGCUGGCAGUGGCCCUAUUCAAAGUGACCCAUUCCUUAGAGGAAAGGGAGGGGCCACAAGAACAUUUACAAAGCCAUUGUGAGGAAUAUUCUGUGCACCUGACUAAUAAAGUUGUUCAGAUCCAUUCUGAGUUAGAUUUUGACUGGCUAGGUUCAAUCAAAUUGACUGAGGUUUGAUUUUGUCCUGUUAUCUGAGAAAUGUUUGAUCCUAUGAUUUCUGUGGAAGUGGGCAGGGCUCUCAGGACUGUUAACCCAGCCUCCUGUUUAUUAAUCCAUGUUUCUCCUGGUUGGUUAAGUUCUCCUGGGAAGUGAUAUGUGAUUGGGUCCAUCAAAUGGGGAAUUCAUCCUUGAUUGGGGAAAUGGUCCCAUCUGCCUUGAAGGAGAUGGUGGUAUUUUCCCCUACUCGAGAAGCUAUUGCUAGUCCAAAUGGUUCUGGACAAUUUGUACCCAGUCUCCAAUCUCCCCUUUUUGGGAAAGGUAGUUGAAAAAAUGAUCAGUUUGCAGCAUCAGAGAGUCCUGGAAGAAGCAGAUUACACUCAAAAAGCAGGUGGCAGCUGUGGCAAGAAAAGUCUUUGAACAGAUCCACCUGGUACACUAGUUAUGCCCUUUUCUGUUCCGGGAGUCCCUUUUCAUGGUGAGUCACAACUUAGUCACUUCACAUAUGGACUAUUGCAAUGAACUCUACAACGGCUGCCCUUAAAGAUGACUCAGAAACUGCGGCUUGGUACACUCAUGUAAUGCCCCUGCUUGCAAACUGUCUGUUGCUUCUGGUGCAAUUCAGGAUGCUGGUUAUCACCUAUAAAGCCCUUCCUGGCAUAAGGCCUGGUUAUUUGAAGGACUGCCUUUCUCCCAAUGUUUUUGCUCAUCCCAUGAGAUCUGAUGCAGCAGGUUCAUUUUGCUUCCAAACUCUUAAGCAAUGCCAUCUGAUGGACCUUAGGAAGUGGGCUUUCUCUGUUGUGUUUCCUGUCUUCUGGAAUAGAAUCUCCCCCAGAGCUUUGAACAGGUACAAUCCUGCUAUCCUUUAAAUGGCCUUGAGGACCUGGCCUUUUCCUCAGACCCAAGGAUAGGGUGGUGUGUGUUCAUCUAGAUUGAUCUAUGUCAGGUUUAUUUGUAUGCCUGUUCCCGUUAUGAUCAUAUUUUUCUGGUUUUAUGUACCAUGGUUUUAUUUUAACAUAUGAGUCACCCAGUUUCUCUAUUGAGUUAAGUGACCUUAGAAAUUUAUAUUAUAACUACGUAAAUUAUAAAUAAUAGUUGUAUCAUGAAUGUUAUACC